rnacentral:rRNA from 1 species
AUGAACGCUGGCGGCGUGCUUAACACAUGCAAGUCGAACGGAAAGGCUCCUGCUUGCAGGGGUACUCGAGUGGCGAACGGGUGAGUAACACGUGGGUGAUCUGCCCUGCACUUCGGGAUAAGCCUGGGAAACUGGGUCUAAUACCGGAUAGGACCACAUUUUGGAUGGUGUGGUGGAAAGUUUUUCGGUGUGGGAUGAGCUCGCGGCCUAUCAGCUUGUUGGUGGGGUAAUGGCCUACCAAGGCGUCGACGGGUAGCCGGCCUGAGAGGGUGUACGGCCACAUUGGGACUGAGAUACGGCCCAGACUCCUACGGGAGGCAGCAGGGGGGAAUAUUGCACAAUGGGCGCAAGCCUGAUGCAGCGACGCCGCGUGGGGGAUGACGGCCUUCGGGUUGUAAACUCCUUUCGCUAGGGACGAAGCGUUUUUGUGACGGUACCUGGAGAAGAAGCACCGGCUAACUACGUG